UACAUCCUACGGGAGGCAGCAGUGAGGGAUAUUGGGCAAUGGGCGCAAGCCUGACCCAGCAACGCCGCGUGAAGGAAGAAGGCUUUCGGGUUGUAAACUUCUUUUCUCAGGGACGAAGAAAGUGACGGUACCUGAGGAAUAAGCCACGGCUAACUACGUGCCAGCAGCCGCGGUAAUACGUAGGUGGCAAGCGUUAUCCGGAUUUAUUGGGUGUAAAGGGCGUGUAGGCGGGAGCGCAAGUCAGAUGUGAAAACUCAUGGCUCAACCCUGAGCCUGCCUUUGAAACUGUGUUUCUUGAGUGCUGG
rnacentral:rRNA from 1 species